CGAUUCCCCUGUGCAAGCAGCUUCCCUGCACCCACUGGACUCCAAGAUUUCUCUCUAGAAGACUGUUCCCUGGUGCCCGGAACUACAACACCCAUAGUGCCCCACGCGCAGGCCGAGUGACUCACCCUCUUCUGAUCCCCACUAGCCAAUGGGCUUCGCCAAUUUCCUCUGCCCCUGGAAAAGCCGCGAGAAAAGAGGGCGCUUCCGGUCCCGUGUUCUCUUUGGCCCUCGGGGAAUCCAAAGGUGCAGUGCUUACGACCAGACCGUAAGGCAGCGGUCCUAGGUGAAACUCACAUGUCCCUGCUAAACCACAUUGUAGGAGUGCAACCCUUUCCCUGUCAACCCUCACUCCUUAUUCCAAUGAUCACAGAGAACAGAUCAGCGAGCUCAUCAGCAGGUAUCCAACCACGGACUGAGAUGCAGUCUCUCCUUGCCAACCCAUCAAUUUCUAUGAGUGGUUCUCUCGGAGACCCCUCCCUCCGGGGAGUGUGCCUACACCGGUGAAGGACCAUGGUAUUAUCAUUAUUUCAGCCUGACAACCCCGCCACAUGCGAUCAUGAAAUGGCUCACUUGAUGACGGAGGCGCAGAAGUCUCAUGAUUUGCCAUCUGCAAGCUGGAGAUCCAGGAUCCAGGGAAGCUGGUGGUUUAAUCCAGUCCAAAUCCAAAAGCCUGAGAACAAGGAGCACUAAUAUCUAGGAGCAGGAGAAGAUUGAUGUCCCAACUUAAACAGAAUAAAUUCUCUCUUCACCUACGUUUUUGUUCUAUUCAGACCCUCAGUGGAUUGGAUAAGCUGACCUGAAUUGGUGAAAGCAAUCUUCUUUAUUUAGUCUAUCAAUUCAAAUGCUAAUUUCUUCUGGAAACGCCCUCACAGACUUAUGCAGAAAAUUUGUU